rnacentral:rRNA from 1 species
UACGGAGGAUCCAAGCGUUAUCCGGAUUUAUUGGGUUUAAAGGGUGCGUAGGUGGCUUUUUAAGUCAGGGGUGAAAGACGGUAGCUUAACUAUCGCAGUGCCUUUGAUACUGAAGAGCUUGAAUGAACUAGAGGUAGGCGGAAAUGUGACAAGUAGCGGUGAAAAUGCAUAGAUAUGUCACAGAAACACCAAUUGCGAAGGCAGCUUACUAUGGUUUUUAUUUACACUGAGGGCACGAAAAGCGUGGGGAUCAAAACAGG